CAUAAUUUAUUUAAUAUGUUUUAUUAGGUGAAGGGAAAAUAAUAUAUUCCAGAGGAAUUCUAAUUGCAAGCAGUAACGCUUGCGUGCCUUGGUAUCGAUUUACCGUCAGUUUCAUGUCAUAAAGACGUCAAACACACGAUUUUCAUCAGGACAACAUCUAUGGCUCGAAUUUACGGUCAACUCCGAGCAACAGGUCUCGAGUGGUUGAAUUAUCCCGCACAAACACGUGUACAUAAACGAUUCGUGCAAGAGGAACACGAAGUCUGGUUUCAUCGAUCUCCAGAACUAAAACACGCCCCUUUGUACUCACUCCUAGAUGAGACAUACCCCCUGGCAAUAACCUGUUGCGUUUGGUCGUAAAUCUACCCCGAGGCUGUAAUCCUGGUAGGCUUGUCUCGGAAUGACGUCAUUGACGAUCUUUUGAUGGACAAGUGACAUCCGUUCACGUUUCUCCAGGGAACCCUUUUAUCGAGACGAAUCAUCGAGACACGCGACUUUUUCCUGAGAAAAGUUUCCUUAUUUUUCAAAUAUCUGUGGUGGAGUAUAGCACCAACACACGAAGAGCAGGGUCGGUGAGAGAACCAUAAAUUCAUCUACUACCCGUCGUUGCUACCCUAGUAACUACGAACUUUCGUGACGUUACGCGAUGUUAGAUGACGAACCGUUCGACAUGUCGACAGCUCUCGUCUACUUGAUGUCCUUAAGGGACGUGACCAACAGAUUCUAUUGAAUAAAGAAAAAGCUAAGACCAGAAACGCGACGUAUCGAUCCGUCGACGUUGACGUCAACGUGGCGGGAAAGCCAUAAAUCCCUCAAACGUCUGCUGGUCCCCUGAUGCUAGGAAGCUACUUGUGCUACCGUGACAAACGGAUGACUGACACUUCCCUUCCUUUAAACUCCACGUCUUUCCAAUUAAAGUUAAAGAUACGUUCUCAACGAUAUAAAGUGGUAUGGUAGAAAUCACGAAUUAGUUAACAAUUCAAAACCGUAACUAAAUGGGUAAUUAUCUGUUUGAAUUACUUAUGUGCAAUUAAAUGUAAUAUUAAACAAUUGACAAAGAUUAUUAUGUAUAAUUAGAAUAGUAAACAUUCUGUUAGUAUGAAGAGCUCCUACGUUCAAUUUAUUCUAUACAUAUACAUUGUGUAAAGAAGGAAGUUGAGAAAGGUGUAUGAGAUAAGAGGGAAGAAGAAAUGACACAAUGCAAUGUUUGCAACUUGACUAUCCGAGCCCUCGUAUGCGGCCCUGAUACGUUGGCGUCCUUACGACGUAACAUGAUGAACAGAUGACGCUAAAUCAAUAUACGUCGUCGUCGAGCAAUUGUUAAACGUCGUUCGACCGAGGCUCCCGACUAAGAAGCUUUUACUUCCUACGCAACGAGCGAUAAACAUCUCUAGUGACGUAUACGUGUAAAUUGCAUACAUUUAAUCAUGAUAGACUAUUUUAAUUUUUAGAGUAUAAAACCGGAAACUUUGGAUUGAAGUUGAACUAAAUGUGAAUUUAAAUACAGAAUUACAACUUCUUUAUACAAUACUAAUGUAAGCACACCCUCCCUCCGAGGAAAAAGCAUUACCUACGUACUAUCCUAGAAGAGAAAAUUGAAUUUGGCUUCUUCCUCUCCUAGAAGAAACAAAAUUAAGAUUCCUUUUGCCAAACAAAUGUUAAUAGCUUUAAUACUCUGAAACGUUCGAAUACGAUAAAAAGAUAUUUGGAAGAAUAUAAGCGGCUACAAGAAGAUCGUGUCUAGCAUGCCUUGCGAGCUUCCAGGAACAGGCUAACAUCCACAAUCGAAGGAUUCAGUGAUCCUGGAAUGCACCAAAAUCUUAUUGCGCCCCGUUGCCACAGUGAUCGAUGAUGUUUGGGUUGAAUCGGAGGAAAAGGAAGUGGAUAGACGCAGAUGAACGUGGAGACGAUCGAAUGACGAGAGGCCGAGUACAAUUUUAAACGAGUCAAUAACAUCAAAAGCUUCGUAUACGCGGGUCACAUCAUCAUGUGGAGCUUCAUUUUACCAUAAACUCUACGACGUAGAUCGUAAUCGUUGUUAAAACUGUCACGUUUAACUAGCAAGUCACAAUGUCGUAGAAAAAAAUUAUCUGCGGGUAAAACUUCUAUAACACGAUACUAAUUUUCAGUGAAAUAUGUAAGAGAUCGAGAUGCAGUAGGCACAGUUUAUAACAAUCAGACAAAUUUUACUAGUCUUUACACCGCGUUAUAAUAGAGGCUAUUCAGCAUCUUUCUACUACAUGUAUAAUCAUGAAAUAUUAUCAGUGAAACAACGUCCGAUAUAUUUGUAUUGUCAAAUAUUGUCAAUGAGACCAUCGAUACCUUUGUGUCCCCUUUAUCCUCCACAAAAAUGUAUAAUAAUAAACUACAUAUAAGCCCAGCACAACCUUCGAUAAAGCAGUAUGUAUAAUUCUUUGCAAUUCUAGCGCAAUCAAGUCUCUAAGGAAAUUCGUUCGGUAGCCGCUCACAAUCACCACGUUACAUUCUCCGUAACAGGUGACUGCGUCGACGCUUGGCGUAUUUCUCGAACCAGGGGUGCACGUUAAACGUAGGGGUUGCUACCCACUUCUCGUGCAAUAUGGUGACUCGAAUGACGUAACAAAGCGCGCGUUUUACUAGGAGAACAUUCUUUAAUGAAGGAUACAACUACCCCUAACGAUCCUUGCUAGCAACCAACCAACCAUCUUACAAAACCUAACCUUUACGACAUUCCUACGUAAGUCGUGACAAACGACAAUAUCUUUGCAACUAACAAUUUCAUUCUACAGUAUACGUCAGUGAUUUAUUACUCUGUGUUAAAAUAUUCAAACUUUACGCAUCAAUAAAAUUAACGGGACAAACAUUAUAUAAAUACUACGUUACGUUCGUUUAAAUUUAUUGAGCGAUUUCAGAAACUGACCUAGCGAACAAGCUUAACCUUUGCGACGUCACGCUGCCUAACAUUUCUAUCCGGGAAUUAUAGGGUGCCAGUUAGUUUUGUGCAUAAUACGCUGGUUUAAACGAGGGUGGCAAUAUUGACACGCUUUUCGAACUGGACAAUGUCCCAAGAACAGGAGUUAAUACACAGGAGUACGUGAUCAAAGUAACGGCAUCGAUAAAGAUUAGUCAAAUAUAUAUGUAUACAUAAGUAUAAAACGAUGCGGUUAUCAUUGAUUAAUUUUAUUAACAGCGCCAAAUUUACUAGUUACGCUAAUGUAUAUUAUUCUGAGGUUAUUAGAUAAGGAUAAGUUAGAGCGAGCAAAAUUUUUUUAUUAACAGAAAAAUGUAUAAUUAAAUAAUAAAAGUU
rnacentral:lncRNA from 1 species